UGCCCCGUAGCUCAACCGGAAGAGCACCGGACUACGAAUCCGAAGGUUGCAGGUUCGACUCCUGUCGGGGUGA
rnacentral:tRNA from 1 species